UGAUCCUGGCUCAGAUUGAACGCUGGCGGCAGGCCUAACACAUGCAAGUCGAACGGAAACAUGUCUAGCUUGCUAGAUGAUGUCGAGUGGCGGACGGGUGAGUAAUACUUAGGAAUAUGCCUUUGGGUGGGGGAUAACUAUUGGAAACGAUAGCUAAUACCGCAUAACGUCUACGGACCAAAGGGGGGACUUGUUCCUCUCGCCUAUUGAGUAGCCUAAGCGAGAUUAGCUUGUUGGUGAGGUAAAGGCUCACCAAGGCGACGAUCUCUAGCUGUUCUGAGAGGAAGAUCAGCCACACUGGGACUGAGACACGGCCCAGACUCCUACGGGAGGCAGCAGUGGGGAAUAUUGCACAAUGGGGGAAACCCUGAUGCAGCCAUGCCGCGUGUGUGAAGAAGGCCUUCGGGUUGUAAAGCACUUUCAGUUGUGAGGAAAGGGUGUUGGUUAAUACCCAUCAUCUGUGACGUUAACAACAGAAGAAGCACCGGCUAACUCCGUGCCAGCGGCCGCGGUAAUACGGAGGGUGCGAGCGUUAAUCGGAAUUACUGGGCGUAAAGCGCACGCAGGCGGUUUGUUAAGCUAGAUGUGAAAGCCCCGGGCUCAACCUGGGAAUAGCAUUUAGAACUGGCAGACUAGAGUCUUGGAGAGGGGAGUGGAAUUCCAGGUGUAGCGGUGAAAUGCGUAGAGAUCUGGAGGAACAUCAGUGGCGAAGGCGACUCCCUGGCCAAAGACUGACGCUCAUGUGCGAAAGUGUGGGUAGCGAACAGGAUUAGAUACCCUGGUAGU
rnacentral:rRNA from 1 species